rnacentral:rRNA from 1 species
UACAGAGGUGGCAAGCGUUGUUCGGAAUUACUGGGCGUAAAGGGCGCGUAGGCGGUUCGUUAAGUCCUGUGUGAAAUCCCCCGGCUCAACUGGGGAACUGCACAGGAAACUAGCGGGCUUGAGUGUGGCAGAGGGGGGUGGAAUUCCACGUGUAGCAGUGAAAUGCGUAGAGAUGUGGAGGAACACCGAUGGCGAAGGCAGCCUCCUGGGCCGACACUGACGCUGAGGGCACGAAAGCGUGGGGAGCAAACAGG